rnacentral:lncRNA from 1 species
AGGUUCCAAUCCGCCGGAUUCCUUCCUCCCGCCGGCGAACUACCGCACGGCCUACGUCGGGCGGAUCGGUUCCGAUGCGGUCGUAGCGAUGAGGAAGUCCUUCGCCAGCGGCGAGGGGGGAAUGAGGCUACGACGGCUACUGGCGGUGCCUGCAGCGAAGAAGAAAUCUCUGAGAGGACUGGAAAGCGCGAUGCUGGAGCCGCCGAUGCAGCGGGAGUGGGCGCGGAGGGCGAGGUACCUGCCUCAGCUAACGGGGGACGAGCUGGACGGGUACCCGCGGCGGGUGUUCGUAGAGGUGGCGGCAAAGGGGGACGCAGGCAGCGGCACGGCGUGGUUCGAGCGGAACUACCCCCGGAAGGGGCGCGCCUUCGAGGAGAUCCGGGUGGA